AAAUAAUUUUGUUGAUCGGAUUUAACAUUAACAGGGAAGAGGGAGAUGUGGCGUGGCUUCAAAGACAUUGUCAAGCAGCAUCUAAAACACAAAAAUUGAUCAGAUCUGAGCACUUUUAGAUGAGUAUGAUGACUCUAUUAAUGGAGAAAAGAGAAAAAGGAGAGCGGCAUCGUGGUCGGCCAUGGCCAUUCUGAAGCUAACCAUCGUCGCCGGAGCUCGAAGUAGACAGUUGGAGAGAAUAAAAGAC
rnacentral:lncRNA from 1 species